UAGGAUGGCUAGCCUCAGAUUGUACUAUCC
rnacentral:piRNA from 1 species